UGCUGAACUGCCUGCAGAUUAACAUCACAAGCAGGUAAGAGAGUAAAAUAAUCAUCAUUUACUGUUAAAAACAUUUUGAAAAUUGAAGUUUUGUGUGUUCUUAUUGUAAUUUAUUUAUUUUAUAACAGGUAAACUUUAUACUGUAAGCUUCAUUCCCUUUAAAGCAGGUAAGCUUCAUACUGUUUUAAAUGAUAGGAGACUCUGCUGUAACAAUGACUUAAUGAUUUGUUAAAGUGUUAUAAAGCAUAUACAUGUAUAUUUUACAUUAAGUUUAUUAAACUAAUUAUGAAAAGAAUGUGGUACAUCAUGUGUUUAGUUUUUUUAUUGAUAUUUCAGAGUUUUUGUAUGUGAGGUAAUCUUACUGGGAGUGAAGGCAGUGUGUAUGACAGCUUAAUAUGAGACACAUCCUGUAUUUAAAGGUGAUGUAUGCAUGUUACUUUCAAUGCUGACAUUAAAAUAAGAGUUAUUUACUGUUAAAAACAUUUUGAAAAUUGAAGUUUUGUGUGUUCUUAUUGUACUUUAUAUCGUUUAUAACAGGUCAACUUUAUACUGUAAGCUUCAUUCACUUUAAAGCAGGUAAGCUUCAUACUGUUUUAAAUGAUAGGAGACUCUACUUUAACAAUGACUUAGGAUAAUGAUUUGUUAAAGUGUUAUAAAGCAUAUACUGUACAUGUAUAUUGUACAUUAAGUUUAUUAAACUAAUUAUCAGAAGUAUGUGGUACAUCAUGUGUUUCGUUUUUUUAUUGAUAUUUCAGAGUUUUUGUAUGUGAGGUAAUCUUACUGGGAAUGAAGGCAGUGCGUAUGACCACUUGAUAUAGACACAUUCUAUUUUUAAAGGUGAUGUAUGCAUGUUACUUUCAAUCCUGGCAUUAAAAUAAUAAUAUUUACUGUUUAAACAUUUUGCAAAAUUGAGGUUUUGCGUGUUUUUGAUGUACUUUAUUUAUUUUAUAACAGGUCAACAUACUGUAAGCUUCAUUCCCUUUAAAGCAGAGUUUUCAUAUGUGAGGUAAUCUUGCUUAUGCUGGGAGUGAAGGCAGUGCGUAUGACCGCUUGAUAUGAAAGACACAUCCUGUUUUUAAAGGUGGAUCAUGAGUGAAGCUCUGCAGGUCUGCCAUUGGCUUGAUAACAGUGUUAUAAAUAAAU